AAAUGCAUACACACAAUCCAAUUCAUAUAUAUUGGUAAAACGUAUUUGUUACUACCUAUACGAGGGGCUUUAUUCCGAUUACGUUCUAGAAGUGUUUUGGCGGUUUUUCAAAUAUGUUUCAAUAUCUACUAUACGUGCGUACUCGUAUAAUAUAAUCACGUUCGAGAGCUACGGGUUUUGGGAUUUCCAGAAUAUGACGAAGCGAUUAACGAU